UAGGGAAUCUUCCGCAAUGGACGCAAAGUCUGACGGAGCAACGCCGCGUGAGUGAGGAAGGUCUUCGGAUCGUAAAGCUCUGUUGCCAGGGAAGAAAAGCGAGGGGAGUCACUGCCCUUCGUGUGACGGUACCUGAGAAGAAAGCCCCGGCUAACUACGUGCCAGCAGCCGCGGUAAUACGUAGGGGGCAAGCGUUGUCCGGAAUUAUUGGGCGUAAAGCGCGCGCAGGCGGUCGAUUGAGUCGGGUGGUUAAGCCCGGGGCUCAACCCCGGGUCACACCGGAAACGGGUCGACUGGAGGGCAAAAGAGGAGAGUGGAAUUCCACGUGUAGCGGUGAAAUGCGUAGAGAUGUGGAGGAACACCAGUGGCGAAGGCGACUCUCUGGAUUGUCACUGACGCUGAGGCGCGAAAGCGUGGGGAGCAAACA
rnacentral:rRNA from 1 species